rnacentral:rRNA from 1 species
CAGUAGCCGCGGUAAUACGUAGGUGGCAAGCGUUGUCCGGAAUUAUUGGGCGUAAAGGGCUCGCAGGCGGUUUCUUAAGUCCGAUGUGAAAGCCCCCGGCUCAACCGGGGAGGGUCAUUGGAAACUGGGAAACCUGAGUGCAGAAGAGGAGAGUGGAAUUCCACGUGUAGCGGUGAAAUGCGUAGAGAUGUGGAGGAACACCAGUGGCGAAGGCGACUCUCUGGUCUGUAACUGACGCUGAGGAGCGAAAGCGUGGGGAGCGAACAGGAUUAGAUACCCCCGUAGUCCCUGUCUCUUAUAC